CCAAACCCCACCCAAGCACACACCAGGCAGCAAAAAGCCAUCAUCCUAAAAGAUGGUCCCACUUCACAAGACGAGGAGGUUCCCCGUCCUUCAUUCCAACCCCAGGUGAGAACACACACACCCUUCUUUGCGAUGGAUAAAAGGCAAAAAGAGAGGGCAAAAAAGCCAACGGCAAAUUCCAACCAGACCCCCAGAGGCACACACCACAAAAAGUGAAGCCAGAGAGAGCCAGACAAAGAGAAGGAUAGAGAGAGAGGGAGAGUUAGACCCCCCCGGAAGAGAAUCAUAGGUGCUGCGGCCUUUUUCGGGAAUGUGACCAGGAAAGAGAGAAACCGACGAGGCCGAUACACACAUUAAAAAAUGAAAAAGUAACCAUCACCGCGAAGGAUUUUCCUCAAAAGACAAAUCAGCAAGAAGUAUGUCCAAUCCCGGGGGCCCAUCGCCCCUCCAAAUUAAUGGAGGGGUCGGAUAGAAAUUUAUAGAAAUGUUACUUUUGUGAAACCCCUAGCCGACGAGAGAACUCUCACCGGUUUCGAAGUUCCAUUUUCACAUUCCGACCUGGGAUGUUAUGACUCCUCGGCCCACACUGCGAACGCGUCCCACACCCCCUCCAAGUUUAUCAGGAAUUUCACCUGAGCUUGCAAUAGAGAUCGAGCGCGGUGGCGGUCACAGUGGUGGUCGACCAGGCGGAGCUUGAACGGCCUCGGCAAACACUUCUCCCCACCCUCCCAAAUGAAUGAGAGAAUGGCUUGACAAUACCGAGGCCAUCGCCCCCCGCCAAAAAUGGUUACUAGCUCUUGGGACUCGCUGCGACGUUACGCGUAUCGGCACAAGACCAACCCUCUUUUUCCAGUCGCCCGCGCACCAAAAAAAAUUUUGGCAGCGGGACUCACAAUCCUUGACAGCCAGCUCACCAUAUAAUACUCGGCGACCCUCCGCGGGACCUCCUCAGAGGGUCGCGUCGCCGGGAAACUACCCCCACUCCUCACUGAUCCAAGGUAACACGCCAGAAGUAUCCAGGUAACCCCAGUAGUAUCCAGGUAUCCCCCCUGCGAACGUCGGUACUGGGCUCAAAGAAGGCAGCGAGCAGUCGGGACCCGUAGGCACCGAGCAACCGUCACCCCCUCACGACUUUUCCCGAGACGCUUCAGAGGAACCCUUCCCCCACAUAGUACUCUCUGUGGGAUUCGGCAGGCCCCCCCGUCCUACUGCACUAAGGAAGUUCCGAGACACACUUUUUUUUGUGGAAGACCACCCACCCUCCCUGUCCUGCCUGCUAUCCCCGCCGCGACUCCUGGUCCCGGCCCUCCUCCCCGACUUCCUCCUUGUCCCGCUGCGAGUCCCGGACCUCCUCCCCCACUACCUACUCCCGCCGCGAGUCCCAGUCCCGGCCUUCCUCCUCCUCCUCCUCUUCCUUGUCCCGCCGCGACUCCCUAGUCCCGUGGCGAGUCCCGGACUUCCUCCUCCUCUUCCUUGUCCUCCCCCUCUUCCUAGUCCCGGCGCGAGUCCCGGACCUCCUCCUUCUCUUCCUUGUCCCGCCGCGAGUCCCAGUCCCGUCGCGAGUCCCGGACUUCCUCCUUCUCUUCGGACUUCCUCCUCCUCUUCCUUGUCCCGCCGCGACUCCCUAGUCCCGGCGCGAGUCCUAGUCCCGGCGCGAGUCCUAGUCCCGGCGCGAGUCCCGGACUUCCUCCUCCUCUUCCUUGUCCCGCCGCGACUCCCUAGUCCCGGCGCGAGUCCCAGUCCCGUCGCGAGUCCCGGACUUCCUCCUCCUCUUCCUUGUCCCGCCGCGACUCCCUAGUCCCGGCGCGAGUCCCAGUCCCGUCGCGAGUCCCGGACUUCCUCCUCCUCUUCCUUGUCCCGCCGCGACUCCCUAGUCCCGGCGCGAGUCCCAGUCCCGUCGCGAGUCCCGGACUUCCUCCUCCUCUUCCUUGUCCCGCCGCGACUCCCUAGUCCCGGCGCGAGUCCCAGUCCCGUCGCGAGUCCCGGACUUCCUCCUCCUCUUCCUUGUCCCGCCGCGACUCCCUAGUCCCGGCUAAAUAAAUCAUUUUUUAAAAAAUCAAUUUUAAAAUUAACUCCCUGUCUCGACUCCUUGCUGGCCGCCCAGUCUUGCGCCUAGACAGAAAUAUAAAUAAAAAAUAAAAAUAAAUUGGUGAAUUAAAAAUAUUAAAGUAAUUUAAUUAACUGGAAUAAGGUAGAAAAAUAAAAGGCAGAAGAAUACUAAAUUGAUUUUUUCAAGUGCCACGUGUUACCUUGCUGAUGUGGCUGCCACGUGGUAGUCCAUGUCAUGUCAAAAAUCCACUAAAUCGUUUACAUGUCACUUUGGAGAUAAAUUUGUGUGUGUGCAUCAAUUGGUUGUACAAAUAUGUUAAUGACUUGCUAACUAAUGCAUCGUACAGGUAAUCAUUGCCCACUAACUAAUCCAUCACCACUGAAACUUAAUGUCUUCAAUUCUUCAUCCUUCACACUCCACAUCCAAUUUAUUUUUGUUUGUGUGAAUUCU
rnacentral:lncRNA from 1 species